rnacentral:rRNA from 1 species
GACGAACGCUGGCGGCGUGCCUAAUACAUGCAAGUAGAACGCAGUUGCGAACGGGUGAGUAACGCGUAGGUAACUGCCUCAUUGCGGGGGCUAACUAUUGGAAACGAUAGCUAAUACCGCAUACUGUGAGAUGGACCUGCGUUGUAUUAGCUAGUUGGUGAGGUAAAGGCUCACCAAGGCGACGAUACAUAGCCGAUCUGCGAGGGUGAGCGGCCAAAAGGGGAAUGAGAAACGGCCCAAAAUCCUUAGGGAGGGAGCCGUAGGGAAUCUUUGGACAUGGAGGGAAGGCUGACUGAGGAACGCCGGGGGAGGGAAGAAGGGUUUCGGGGUGUAAAGCUCUGUUGUUAGAGAAGCGGUAACUAACGAGAAAGGGACGGCUAACUACGUGCCAGCAGCCGCGGUAAUAC